AGGACGCCCGGCUAAGUGCCCGCCAGUAUACAAAACUCAAGAAUUCAUUUUGUGAAGUCCUGAUAUAUCAUUUAAUUGAUUAAAACUUUCAACAACGGAUCUCUUGGUUCUGGCAUCGAUGAAGAACGCAGCGAAAUGCGAUAAGUAAUGUGAAUUGCAGAAUUCAGUGAAUCAUCGAAUCUUUGAACGCACAUUGCGCCCUCUGGUAUUCUGGAGGGCAUGCCUGUUCGAGCGUCAUUUCAACCCUCAAGCUCUGCUUGGUAUUGGGCAACGUCCGCUGCCGGACGUGCCUUGAAGACCUCGGCGACGGCGUCCUAGCCUCGAGCGUAGUAGUAAAAUAUCUCGCUUUGGAGUGCUGGGCGACGGCCGCCGGACAAUCGACCUUCGGUCUAUAUUUCCAAGGGUUGACCUCGGAUCAGGUAGGGAUACCCGCUGAACUUAAGCAUA
rnacentral:rRNA from 1 species